ensembl:ncRNA C55B7.13 ncRNA
UCCUGAAAAAGUUAUGAAUUAUUUGCAGUAAACUGAUUGAAACUUCUCAACCUGUAUGAAUUCUUUUGUGAGCUGUUAGAUUAGCUGCUUGAGAGAAUGCUUUUCCACAAGUUUGACAUCUGAAAGGUUUUGGUGUAGAUCUUGCCAUUGGUCGUUGUACUGGAAGAGGUUCUUUCUUUGGAAGGCGAAGAGAUGGAGUUGGAUCCAUAUAACAGAGACCGGA